CGCGUAGGCGGUCCGCACAGUCAGGCGUGAAAUUCCUGGGCUUAACCUGGGGGCUGCGCUUGAUACAUGCGGGCUUGAGUGUGGAAGAGGGUCGUGGAAUUCCCAGUGUAGAGGUGAAAUUCGUAGAUAUUGGGAAGAACACCGGUGGCGAAGGCGGCGACCUGGUCCAUUACUGACGCUGAGGCGCGAAAGCGUGGGGAGCAAACAGGAUUAGAUACCCUGGUAGUCCACGCUGUAAACGAUGUGUGCUGGAUGUUGGGUGGCCUAGCCAUUCAGUGUCGUAGCUAACGCGGUAAGCACACCGCCUGGGGAGUACGGCCGCAAGGUUGAA
rnacentral:rRNA from 1 species